GACGAACGCUGGCGGCGUGCUUAACACAUGCAAGUCGAACGGAAAGGCCCUGCUUUUGUGGGGUGCUCGAGUGGCGAACGGGUGAGUAACACGUGAGUAACCUGCCCUUGACUUUGGGAUAACUUCAGGAAACUGGGGCUAAUACCGGAUAGGAGCUCCUGCGGCAGGGUGGGGGUUGGAAAGUUUCGGCGGUUGGGGAUGGACUCGCGGCUUAUCAGCUUGUUGGUGGGGUAGUGGCUUACCAAGGCUUUGACGGGUAGCCGGCCUGAGAGGGUGACCGGCCACAUUGGGACUGAGAUACGGCCCAGACUCCUACGGGAGGCAGCAGUGGGGAAUAUGGCACAAUGGGCGGAAGCCUGAUGCAGCAACGCCGCGUGCGGGAUGACGGCCUUCGGGUGGUAAACCGCCUUCGCCUGUGACGAAGCGUGAGUGACGGUAAUGGGGAAAGAAGCACCGGCUAACUACGU
rnacentral:rRNA from 1 species